ACUGGGCGUAAGCGUGCGCAGGCUGGUUAUGUAAGACAGAUGUGAAAUCCCCGGGCUCAACCUGGGAACUGCCUUUGUGACUGCAUGGCUAGAGUACGGCAGAGGGGGAUGGAAUUCCGCGUGUAGCAGUGAAAUGCGUAGAUAUGCGGAGGAACACCGAUGGCGAAGGCAAUCCCCUGGACCUGUACUGACGCUCAUGCACGAAAGCGUGGGGAGCAAACAGGAUUAGAUACCCUGGUAGUCCACGCCCUAAACGAUGUCAACUGGUUGUUGGGAAUUAUGUGACUCAGUAACGAAGCUAACGCGUGAAGUUGACCGCCUGGGGAGUACGGCCGCAAGGUUG
rnacentral:rRNA from 1 species